UCUGCUGCUUCACAAUUUCUGAAAGGAAGAAAAUGAAAAUGGAUCUUCGCAAAUUCACCGUCAAACGUCAGUGUCUGCCAUGGCAGCUUCAACUUGCCGUCACUACACUUCUGUUCUUAGCAGUUAGUUCACUUGGAUCUCCUAUCGAAACUCGCAAAAGUGGAAGAUCGUCUGUAUUCUCACUAUUUAACCUCAAAGAAAAGAGUCGAUUUUGGAGUGAGGAUGUUAUACAUAAUGAUUUUGAUGAUUUAAAGUUUUCAAGCCAUGGCAAAGUAAGCGCAUUUAAUUAUACCAAUGCAGGUAACAUUGCUAACUAUCUAAAGCUUCAGGAAGUUGAUUCCAUCCACUUUCCCGUUCCUAUGAAUUUUAUAUUUAUAGGAUUUGAGGGGAAGGGCAACCACGAAUUCAAGCUUCUUCCAGAAGAAAUUGAGCGUUGGUUUACAAAAAUUGAUCACAUCUUUGAACACACUCGGAUUCGACAUGAAGAAGUUUUUACAGCAUUUUACAAAACCAGUAUGGAUAAAAUGCGAUGGCACCACCUUCCUGUUGUCAGUCACAUAAAUUACAACUUUUCUGUUCAUGCUAUUGAAAUGGGAGAGAAGGUUACUUCCAUAUUUGACCAGGCCAUAAAUGUGUUUGGUCGCAAGGAUGAUCCAGUGGGCAGCCAGGACAAUAGUGGUGGUUGGCAAGUAGAUGUGGACAUGAUAGAUGGUCUUUUGGCUAGCCUAGUUGAAUACCUUCAACUUGAAAAUGCAUAUAAUAUUUUUAUUUUAAAUCCCAAACGUGAUGAGAAGAAGCCUAAAUAUGGGUAUCGGAGAGGUUUAUCAGAGCUCGAAAUAAACUUGCUAAAGCAGAAUAAGAGUUUGCAAAUGAAGCUUCUUCAGUCAGAAGACAUUCCUGAAAAUAUUCUUGCUCUUAAUAAGAUUCAGCGACCAUUAUAUGUAAAGCAUCCAAUGAUGAAAUUUGCAUGGACAAGAACUGAGGACACUGAUAUUGCAGAAUGGUAUAAUUUUUGGCUUGAAGCACUAGAUAAUUUUGGGAGGUUGUGUCAAGGGAGAGACACAGCUGAGAUCAUUCAGGUCAAAGCAUUACAGUUACUAAAAGGGAAGGAUCAAGACUUGAAGCUCCUUUUGGAAAAAGUAUUAAAAUCUGGAGACUACAAUGGUUUUCAGGCUGAAUGUCUCACAGACACAUGGAUUGGAAAGGACAGAUGGGCAUUUAUUGAUUUAAGUGCUGGUCCUUUUUCAUGGGGACCUGCUGUUGGUGGAGAAGGUGUGCGUACAGAAGCAAGCUUACCAAGUGUCGAAAAGACAAUUGGUACAACUUCAGAAAUCUCAGAAGAAGAAGCUGAAGACCGAUUGCAAGAUGCUAUUCAGGAGAAAUUUGCUGUAUUUGGUGAUAAAGAUCACCAGGCCAUUGAUAUUCUUUUAGCUGAGAUUGAUAUAUAUGAGCUUUUUGCUUUUAAACACUGCAAGGGAAGGAAAGUCAAACUUGCUCUUUGUGAAGAACUUGAUGAGAGGAUGCGGGAUUUGAGAAAUGAGCUACAGUCAUUUGAAGGUGAAGAAUACGAUGAAAGUCAUAAGAAAAAGGCUCUAGAGGCAUUAAAGCGAAUGGAGAGCUGGAAUUUAUUCAGUGACACAUAUGAAGAGUUCCAAAAUUACACAGUUGUACGUGAUUCUUUUCUUGCACAUCUAGGUGCAACACUCUGGGGAUCUAUGAGACAUAUUGUGUCACCUUCAGUUGCGGAUGGUGCUUUUCACUAUUAUGAGAAGAUAUCGUUUCAGUUGUUUUUCAUGACGCAAGAGAAAGUUAGGCACAUCAAACAGCUUCCUGUGGAUAUGAAGGUUAUAAUGGAUGGGCUUUCCUCAUUGAUGGUUCCGUCUCAAAAACCGAUGUUCAGUCAACACAUGUUACCUCUGUCAGAGGAUCCUGCCUUAGCAAUGGCCUUCUCAGUUGCUCGACGAGCAGCUGCUGUGCCCUUACUUCUUGUCAACGGAACCUAUCGAAAGACGAUUCGUACCUAUCUUGAUUCUUCCAUUCUGCAAUACCAACUGCGAAGGCUGAAUAAACAUGGUUCUCUUAAAGGUAGGCAUGCACAUUCCAGUUCCGUGCUAGAGGUUCCAGUCUUUUGGUUCAUUUACAAUGAACCACUUUUACUAGACAAAUAUUUUCAGGCAAAAGCGCUAUCUGAUAUGAUUAUUGUCGUUCAGUCAGAACCUUCUUCCUGGGAAAGCCAUCUACAUUGUAAUGGGCACUCACUUCUACUGAACUUGAGGCAGCCUAUAAAAGCUGCAGUCGCUGCUACUGCUGAGCAUCUUGCUGGUUUACUUCCCCUUCAUCUCGUAUAUGGUCAGGCCCAUGAGACUGCAAUUGAGGACUGGUUAUGGUCGGUAGGAUGCAACCCUUUCUCCAUUACAUCACAAGGCUGGCACAUUUCACAGUUUCAGUCUGAUUCAAUUGCUAGGAGUUAUAUCAUCACUACGCUUGAAGAGUCAAUAGAACUGGUUAAUUCUGCCAUUCAUCUUCUGUUAAUGGAGCGUACCAAAAUAUUGUAGGGCCUUUAUUUUCCUUGAGACAAGAGAUGAGUUAUCUGUAUGAAUUCUUAACAAAAUAAAGCUGAAAAAACUUUCGUGAUCUUCCAGUCCCAGGAGCAUGAGCUUGUAAACAAGUACAAUUAUGUUGUUAGCCUUUGGAAAAGGGUAUCAACUGUCACUGGGGAACUGCGCUAUGCUGAUGCAUUGAGGUUACUAAACACCUUGGAGGAUGCAUCCAAAAGGUUUAAUGAUCAAGUUAAUGCGACACUUGCCCUUCUCCAUCCGAUUAACUGCACCAGAGAGAGAAAAAUACAUAUGGUGUUUGAUAUGACAACGUUUCCAGCUUUCUUGAUUGUUCUAGGGUGCCUUUAUAUGGUAUUGAGGCCAAGGCAACCAAAACCAAAGAUUAAUUAGAGGUUUCAAAUCGCCGUUAUGAAUUUUAAUUAAUGUAGGAUUAUUACAAGGAUUUUCCGUGUUGGCAAGUACAAGGGAUUGAGGUGAGGAUUUACAA